AAUAGAUACCCCGGUAGUCCAUGCCGUAAACGUUGGGAACUAGAUGUAGGGUCCAUUCCACGGGAUUCUGUGUCGCAGCUAACGCAUUAAGUUCCCCGCCUGGGGAGUACGGCCGCAAGGCUAAAACUCAAAGGAAUUGACGGGGGGCCCGCACAAGCGGCGGAGCAUGCGGAUUAAUUCGAUGCAACGCGAAGAACCUUACCAAGGCUUGACAUAUACCGGAAACGGCUGGAAACAGUCGCCCCGCAAGGUCGGUAUACAGGUGGUGCAUGGUUGUCGUCAGCUCGUGUCGUGAGAUGUUGGGUUAAGUCCCGCAACGAGCGCAACCCUCGUUCUUUGUUGCCAGCACGUCAUGGUGGGAACUCAAAGGGAGACUGCCGGGGUCAACUCGGAGGAAGGUGGGGAUGACGUCAAAUCAUCAUGCCCCUUAUGUCUUGGGCUUCACGCAUGCUACAAUGGCCGGUACAAAGGGCUGCAAUACCGUAAGGUGGAGCGAAUCCCAAAAAGCCGGUCUCAGUUCGGAUUGAGGUCUGCAACUCGACCUC
rnacentral:rRNA from 1 species